GACCCGAUGGCACAGCUGGUUACUGCGUCUGCCCUUCUUGUUUCCAACCCUUGUUUGUGCGCAGAAGACCCUCGUUCGAACCGGGGUCGGGUCA